rnacentral:rRNA from 1 species
UACGUAGGGGGCAAGCGUUGUCCGGAUUUAUUGGGCGUAAAGAGCGUGUAGGCGGCCAGGUAGGUCGGUUGUGAAAACUCGAGGCUCAACCUCGAGAUGUCGACCGAAACCAUCUGGCUAGAGUCCGGAAGAGGAGAGUGGAAUUCCUGGUGUAGCGGUGAAAUGCGCAGAUAUCAGGAAGAACACCCGUGGCUAAGGCGGCUCUCUAGUACGGUACUGACGCUGAGACGCGAAAGCGUGGGGAGCGAACAGG